AACAAAACUCAAGCCUGGCUUGGUAUUGGGCCUUUGAGACAAGUUCGGGCCCCAAAUUCGUUGGCUAUUAAUUAGUAAAUGGGAGGUCCUAUAGCAUGGCGCCGUAAUUAUCGACAAAUUCUUACUGGCGCGUAGUUUGUCCCGCCCUGCCUUGCGCGUUCGCAUCGGUGACUCGGACCGAACAGAAGU
rnacentral:misc_RNA from 1 species